rnacentral:rRNA from 1 species
CAGUCGCCGCGGGAAUACGUAGGGUGCAAGCGUUAUCCGGAAUUAUUGGGCGUAAAGAGCUCGUAGGCGGUUUGUCGCGUCUGCUGUGAAAACUGGAGGCUCAACCUCCAGCCUGCAGUGGGUACGGGCAGACUAGAGUGCGGUAGGGGAGAUUGAAAUUCCUGGUGUAGCGGUGGAAUGCGCAGAUAUCAGGAGGAACACCGAUGGCGAAGGCAGAUCUCUGGGCCGUAACUGACGCUGAGGAGCGAAAGCAUGGGGAGCGAACAGGAUUAGAUACCCCGGUAGUCCCUGUCUCUUAUAA